GCCGAUCGAUGCUUCAGGCUUCCACGCCGUGCCUGCGCGACGCGAGGGCUUCCGCUUCGCCUCGCCGGGCUCCAUCGAGUCUGGUGUCAAAUAUGCCUGUGGGCAUAUGUGGGUAAUCAUCAUCUGGUUUCAACAUCUUAAUAAACUUCUCAGGGGAAAGGAGAGGCUGUAUUGAAGAAGAUGAUAAAAGGAAUGGCAAAGGAACUCUACAGAAAUGAAAAAAUACCACUCACUGAACAAUGAAGAAGCUGAUGCUUGUUGUGGCAGAGGACUUCCAGUGGCCGAGUAUGAACUUGACCUCAGGCUGGGAAGGACACUGUGCCAAAGUAGUACAAGAAACUUGUAUUCUUACAAGCUUGAAGAAAUGGUUGUAUGCAGAAGAAUUUUGACUUUCAGCAUGGUACACCAGUGUCAGAAAUGGUCACACUGAGAAGUGGGAGAGGUGGUAAAAUUAGCAAGAGAAGGGGC
rnacentral:lncRNA from 1 species